UCUGUUUCCUGGCAACCAGCUCACUACUCCCUGAAGGGCACUUUCAAGAAAGUUCAAUCAAUGGAAGGGUCAAAUGUUUUCUUUUUCAAACGUCCAUUUUGCAUGUAAUGGCUGCUCCAUGCAGAGUUUACGGGUGUUCUCUUGUUCAUGAGAUCUAGCGUCCUUCUGCACAAAUGCAUGUGCUAUGGGUAAGAAAUUACUUCAACUGAGUUUAUUGGCAUUUCUUAGAGCAUAUGAGUUCAAAGAAAAUUAUUACAGUUAUAAAAGUUCCCCAGCACCCUCCGGACUUUAGAGAGCUUCCCUGGAGCUAACUGAUGUCCCUCCUCCCAGACAAGCCAUGGUCCAGUCUGAAAAUGGAGAACCAAAAACAGGUAACAAGAAGCCACAUCCUGAUUCGCAUCCUCCUCCCAAAACCCUGCAACUUCCUGAAUUCCCGUGCUCCUCAGGCGGGACUUCCUGUUGGAGAUGGAGCUAAAGAAGCUGAAAAACUCCUCCAUCCUUCCUAAGAUAGAUCUCAUUUAUGCAUGAGGUCAGACAAAUUUCCCUAAUGCUGCCCUUGAGGGGAUAUCCAGGGAUAACAAAGGCUGUCUUCCAUGCCUCUCCCCGAAUCCAGAUGUAAACCAGAAAACAUAAAAUAAAAAGCCAAAAAUCAUUCCA
rnacentral:lncRNA from 1 species